UCCUGGCUCAGAUUGAACGCUAGCGGGAUGCCUUACACAUGCAAGUCGAACGGCAGCACGGACUUCGGUCUGGUGGCGAGUGGCGAACGGGUGAGUAAUGUAUCGGAACGUGCCUAGUAGCGGGGGAUAACUACGCGAAAGCGUAGCUAAUACCGCAUACGCCCUACGGGGGAAAGCAGGGGAUCGCAAGACCUUGCACUAUUAGAGCGGCCGAUAUCGGAUUAGCUAGUUGGUGGGGUAACGGCUCACCAAGGCGACGAUCCGUAGCUGGUUUGAGAGGACGACCAGCCACACUGGGACUGAGACACGGCCCAGACUCCUACGGGAGGCAGCAGUGGGGAAUUUUGGACAAUGGGGGAAACCCUGAUCCAGCCAUCCCGCGUGUGCGAUGAAGGCCUUCGGGUUGUAAAGCACUUUUGGCAGGAAAGAAACGUCAUGGGCUAAUACCCCGUGAAACUGACGGUACCUGCAGAAUAAGCACCGGCUAACUACGUGCCAGCAGCCGCGGUAAUACGUAGGGUGCAAGCGUUAAUCGGAAUUACUGGGCGUAAAGCGUGCGCAGGCGGUUCGGAAAGAAAGAUGUGAAAUCCCAGAGCUUAACUUUGGAACUGCAUUUUUAACUACCGAGCUAGAGUGUGUCAGAGGGAGGUGGAAUUCCGCGUGUAGCAGUGAAAUGCGUAGAUAUGCGGAGGAACACCGAUGGCGAAGGCAGCCUCCUGGGAUAA
rnacentral:rRNA from 1 species